UUGUGACACUCUGUGUCAGAUGAUUGAAGUUGUCUGAUGCAAUUUGAGCUUGCUAUAGCAAGAAAGUCUAACCUAUUCCAGUGUUCCCCUCCAUGAGACCAACUGUUAUACAGACUUAAACAUU
rnacentral:snoRNA from 10 species